rnacentral:rRNA from 1 species
GUGCCAGCAGCCGCGGUAAUACGUAGGUGGCAAGCGUUAUCCGGGAAUUAUUGGGCGUAAAGCGCGCGCAGGCGGUUUCUUAAGUCUGAUGUGAAAGCCCACGGCUCAACCGUGGAGGGUCAUUGGAAACUGGGGAACUUGAGUGCAGAAGAGAAAAGCGGAAUUCCACGUGUAGCGGUGAAAUGCGUAGAGAUGUGGAGGAACACCAGUGGCGAAGGCGGCUUUUUGGUCUGUAACUGACGCUGAGGCGCGAAAGCGUGGGGAGCAAACAGGAUUAGAUACCCUGGUAGUCC